rnacentral:lncRNA from 1 species
GCAUCAUCACCUUGACUGUGGAGUCGAGCAUUGCCCUCUCACUUGACCAACAGUAGCCCUUCGACUGCAGUGGGAAAGAAGAAGAAAAUGAUUUGAUGUGAAAAUUGGUGAAAUCUGGCACUUGAAAUAACCAAGAGAAAAGUUCCUACUUGAUGCCUUAAGCCACUCCUGCUCGAAGCUCUGAAGAACUGAGAUGCCAGAGAUGCUUACUAUGGUACUACUGCAUUUUUUGUAGAGUUGUUACAUUAAUAAUAAAACUUGCCUGCUUAAUCUC